AGCCCCUCGAGUGGUGGGGAUGAUUAUUUGGCCUAAAGCGUCCGUAGCCAGCUUUGUAAAUCUCCCGUUAAAUCCAACGUCCUAAGCGUUGGGCUGCGAGAGACACUGCAGAACUAGAGGGUGGGAGAGGUCAGCGGUAUUCCUGGGGUAGGGGCGAAAUCCAUUGAUCCCAGGAGGACCACCAGUGGCGAAGGCUGCUGACUUGAACACGCCUGACGGUCAGGGACGAAAGCUGGGGUAGCGAAUCGGAUUAGAUACCCGAGUAGUCC
rnacentral:rRNA from 1 species